rnacentral:rRNA from 1 species
UACGUAGGGUGCGAGCGUUGUCCGGAAUUAUUGGGCGUAAAGAGCUUGUAGGCGGCUUGUCGCGUCUGCUGUGAAAAUCCGGGGCUCAACCCCGGACUUGCAGUGGGUACGGGCAGACUGGAGUGUGGUAGGGGAGACUGGAAUUCCUGGUGUAGCGGUGGAAUGCGCAGAUAUCAGGAGGAACACCGAUGGCGAAGGCGGCUCUCUGGACGGUGACUGACGCUGAGACGCGAAAGCAUGGGGAGCAAACAGG